AAGGAUAAAAAAAAGUUCCUAAUGUGUAGGCUUGCCUUGAAGAUGAAAUGAGGUAAGUAUGGAAAGCAGUUAGCUGGCUGCUUCCUAAGUGUUAGUUCUGUUUAAUCUUGUUCAUUUCCUUUCAGUCCUUUUACUCUAAAGAGGGGUGUGUGUGUUUGGUUUGUUUUCACAUAGUUGUGAUCACAUUGUCUAUAUAAUUUUAUUUACUGCUUGCUUAGCAUAACAUCUGUAGCCAAGCAUUUUCCAUGUUAUUUUCAACUCCUCAUAAACAUGCAUCUUAAUAGUUGCAUAAUAAUCCGAUGGAUGGAUAUAUCAUAGUUUAACCAUUUCCUUAUUGUUGGCCAUAGGAAUUGUUCCAGGUUUUCAUUGUUACAGAAAACUCAAGGCAUGACUGGGCAUGGUGGCUCACGCCUGUAGUCCCAGCGCUUUGGGAGGCCAAGGCGGGUAGAUCACUUGAGUAGAUCAGGAGUUUGAGACCAGCCUGGUAAACAUGGCAAAACCCUGCCCCGUCUCUACUAAAAAUACAAAAAUUAGCCAGGCCUGGUUGCAGGUGCCUGUAAUCCCAGCUACACAGGAGGCUGAGACAGGAGAAUCGCUUGGACCUGGGAAGCGGAGGUUGCAGUGAACCAAGAUCAAGCCACUGCACUCCAGCCUGGGCGACAGAGUGAAACUCCAUCUCAAAAAAAGAAAACUAUAGGCAUGAACACCUUUAUGUGUCAGAUAUCACCAGCAAAACCAGCCCCACUUUUCCCAGCCUGUUAGAACAAGUUCCUUGAGAAAAAUUCUUAGAAAGGAUGUUACAAAGUCAAAUUAUAUGAAUAUUUAUCAAGAUUUGUGACUUAUCCUGCCAAAUUCAUUCCUGUAAAGUGAGUUCCCACUUCUAUUUCCAAGACAGUGGAUGAGACUGUGGCUGAGGGAUGUGGAUUUUGUUCUGCAGUGCUGCUGGUGAGGGCAUGAGACCAGGGUUUUGAUGGAUUCAUCCAGCAGCCAUUGGGUGGGUGGCUGGGCAGAGUCGGCGUUAGGAGGCUCUCAGCGGUGACUUAACUAUCUGCAAACCUGGCCCCAUCCCCAUGAUGACUAGAGCUCCCAUCCGUAGGAGAGGGAGGCCCUGUGGUCACAGUGUCACAUUCCUUUUCAGUCCAGCAUAAGCACUUUCACAUUGUUUUUUCCCUCCGUGAUUCAAAUGACAAGAACUCUUCAUCUUUAGGGAUCACAGUAUAAGACAGUGAAUAAGUUCAUGAGCCUUGGUGUUAUCCUGCCUGGAUUGGGAUCUCAACUCUACUAUUUAUUAGCUGUGUGAUUCUGGACCUCAGUUUCUCAAUCUGAGACAUGGUACUCACCUCCUAGGAUUAAAUUAAACAGGUAUUUUAUACACAACAUAAUAAGUGCUGAAUGCUUCUUAGAUCUUCUUAUCUAUCUCCCUCUUUCUAAAUGAAAGCGCCUGGUUGAAAGAAACUAAUUGAACCUCUGUAUUCACCACUUUCCUCCUCUUGAAAAUGCAACAAGGGAAGCUGUAUAAAGAAACAAUACUGGGCCAGGCGCGGUGGCUCACGCCUGUAAUCCCAGCAUUUUGGGAGGCCAAGGCGGGUGGAUCACCUGAGGUCAGGAGUUCAAGACCAGCCUGACCAACAUGGCAAAACCUCAUCUCUACUAAAAAUACAAAAUUAGCCAGGGGUGGUGGCACAUGCCUGUAAUCCCAGCUACUGGGGAAGCUGAAGCAGGAGAAUUGCUUGAACCCAGGAGGCAGAAGUUGCAGUGAGCCGAGAUCGCGUCAUCGCAUUCCAGCCUGGGCAACAAAGAGCGAAACUCCAUCUCAAAAAAAAAAAAAAAAGGAAAAAGAAACAAUACCAGAAAGCCCAUCUCUACAUUGCUAGGCAACCUUUCCAAGAUUCCUAGAGUGUGAAUGAUGUGAGCUUGCCUUGGGGUGAAGGCUGCUGGAGUCAGCUCUUUCCGAUCCUGGCUAGUUUUCUGCUCCUAAUAAAGGCUUCUUUCAUGGCUGGGCAAGAGGAAGACUCAGAUGGCCCUCCGUGGACAAGGGUUGGUUCCCGAAUCUGUCCCAGGUCCAAAGAUAGACAACUAACUCAAAAUUGUAUCUUCGCUUUAAUCACUGCUCUGGUGAUAUUUGCAUUAAUGAAAGAGAAAAGAAAGCAUCCCCAACAGAUGGAAAAGGCGGCUCUCUGACUAGUGAAAGAACAACUUCCAGUAAAAGAAGGCACUGAGGUUUAAGUGCUACGUGGGAGCAGUUGCCGAUUUUUGCAAUGGGAGGCUGCAUAGAUUCAAGGUGGAACCAUCUAGUUGCAGGAAAACAAGCUCAGGGCUCCUGUUGAUUCUAUAUUAUGUUAUGCUGCAUGCUGUGGAAUGAAGAGGCUGCGGCUCACCAAGGCUCACAAAGACCUUACCACGAUCCCGGGUGUUCAGAAGAGGUGUGUGUUUCUUCCUUCCUCCCUCUCGUCACAGUUGCUGUCCCCCAAGGAAGAGGAAAUGACUUGCUUGUGGAAUCCGUUUGCAAGCAAAUCACUUAUUUGGAACCAAAAAUGGGGGAGAAGGAAGUAGGAGCCAUAGACUCAGGGCUUGAUCAGGAUUCCGCAAGCCUUAGAGUUUUCCACUCCCCACAACAUACCUCUCACCUGGGCCAUUUAGAGGCAUCUCCUGCCUCCCACUCUGUCUCUGCCUGAGGUCUACACUCCGCGCCCCCCCACCACCCCCCAGCCCGACCCCCACUUUAACAGGAUUCAACUCCUUUGUCUGACUGUGACCACAGGUGAUGAGAGCUGGGAGGGCGAGUUGGUUGGCCUUUCUUGCAGCUCCCACAUUCUAAAUCAGGAAGCAUGCAGGAGUGGAGAAUGAACAGCAAGAAUAUACACAGCCUGGAACUUCCAGUCUGAAAUGUCUAGGGCAUUUAGUAUGAAAAAUCUGUUCAUAACUGAAAAAAGAAAACACCUAAUGCAGGAACCAGAAUUUUCUGCAACAAGCAACAUUACCAAAAAAAGACCAGCCAAGAGGGCUUGCCAGAAUUGGCUAUAGAGCGUUAUACCAGGUAAACUCGUCAGAUGGAACCAUGUCUUUCCUUUGGGAGAACACUGACAUUUAGGCUUUGGCUUCUUGAGAUUCUGCUGGAGGACUUUUCAGAGGAAUGCAAUGACUCCUUCCUUCCUCCCUGAACUGAAAUCCGGGCUAUUACAAUUCCAAAUGGACACAGAGUCCUGCCAAGUUUAUAGGAAAUUGGAAUGACAGCUUGGGUUCCCACCACUAGGGAUAGCAGAAGCUGAAUGCUCAGAGAAUAAGUAACAUUUCCCUGGUGAUUCCCAGUGUGUCUAUUUUUAUUUUAAGGAGUUCUGUGUUUUCAUUCAGUUUUGUGAAUGGAGGAAUCCAUAUGGAAUUUUCACCAACUCUACUAAAAUAAAAGCAUGUAACUUUUCAGCAGUGUACUGAAAUAUCCACAAAGAUUCAAGGUUAGGUUGGAAAGAAUUCCAGACAUUCACUUUUGAAGACCUGUGAAAAAUCUGCUAACUUCUAAUGGGUACCUUCUGGGCAUAUGACAAAGGACAAUAUCAGUUGCUAAAUCCAUCCAUGUACAAGAGAUAUUGUCUUCAACAAAGCACAGCUCAUCAUUUAAUAGAAGUUACAAAGUAGUUACUCUAAGAUAAGCAGCU
rnacentral:lncRNA from 10 species